rnacentral:rRNA from 1 species
GUCGAGCGGAAACGAUUCCAGCUUGCUGGUAGGCGUCGAGCGGCGGACGGGUGAGUAACACUUAGGAAUCUACCUAGUAGUGGGGGAUAGCUCGGGGAAACUCGAAUUAAUACCGCAUACGACCUACGGGAGAAAGGGGGCAACUUGUUGCUCUCGCUAUUAGAUGAGCCUAAGUCGGAUUAGCUAGUUGGUGGGGUAAAGGCCUACCAAGGCGACGAUCUGUAGCUGGUCUGAGAGGAUGAUCAGCCACACCGGGACUGAGACACGGCCCGGACUCCUACGGGAGGCAGCAGUGGGGAAUAUUGGACAAUGGGGGCAACCCUGAUCCAGCCAUGCCGCGUGUGUGAAGAAGGCCUUUUGGUUGUAAAGCACUUUAAGCAGUGAAGAAGACCUAAUGGUUAAUACCCAUUAGCGAUGACAUUAGCUGCAGAAUAAGCACCGGCUAACUCUGUGCCAGCAGCCGCGGUAAUACAGAGGGUGCAAGCGUUAAUCGGAAUUACUGGGCGUAAAGCGAGCGUAGGUGGCUUGAUAAGUCAGAUGUGAAAUCCCCGGGCUUAACCUGGGAACUGCAUCUGAUACUGUUAGGCUAGAAUAGGUGAGAGGAA